rnacentral:misc_RNA from 1 species
AAGGGGGUUUCGCUCACGUUGAUUACGUCCCUGCCCUUUGUACACACCGCCCGUCGCUACUACCGAUUGAAUGGCUUAGUGAGACUCUCGGAUCGGGUUUUAGGAACCGGAAACGGAUCCUUUUUUCUGAAAAGUUUGUCAAACUUGGUCAUUUAGAGGAAGUAAAAGUCGUAACAAGGUUUCCGUAGGUGAACCUGCGGAAGGAUCAUUAGAAAUUUUUUAUGUAUUCAAAAUUUCAAUCUUUAUAAAAGUUUAUAUUUUUGUUUAUAUAAAAUAAAAAGAAAAACAACUUUCAACAACGGAUCUCUUGGCUCUUGCAUCGAUGAAGAACGCAGCGAAAUGCGAAAAGUAAUGUGAAUUGCAGAAUUCCGUGAAUCAUCAAAUCUUUGAACGCAAAUUGCACUCUUUGGUAUUCCGAAGAGUAUGCUUGCUUGAGGGUUGUUCUAAUAAUAUCGUUUUUUUAUACUAAAAAAAACGGAACUGAGUUUUCCAAAGUUUUUUUAUAACUUUGGUAACUUUAAAUUUAACUUAACGAUAUUAAGUAUCUAUUGGAAAUGUUUUAUCUUACAUCUCGUAAGUUUCAUUAACAAUUAUUUACUAAUCGUUAGAGCGUAUUAUUUACCUAAUUUUUAUAAUUGGUUAUAUAAUACAAUUUUUUUUUUUCAAAUCUCACGUCAAGUAAGAUAACCCGCUGAACUUAAGCAUAUCAAUAAGCGGAGGAAAGAAACUAACAAGGAUUCCCUUAGUAACGGCAAGUGAAGUGGGAAAAGCUCCACAUUUAAAUCACCCGGGUUCUCUUGGUGAAUUGUGAUUUGAAGAAAGUGUUUAGACCUUCGCGUUCAAUUUAAAUCCUCUUGGAUAAGGGAUCAUAGAGGGUGAGAACCCCGUUAUGAGUGACCCUUGAAUGCUAUAAUCACUUUCCAGAGACGAGUGUCUGGGAUUGCGCUCAAAAGGUGGGAAUUUCCCUAAGCUAAAUUGNCAGAACCCAUGCGACAGUACCUGAGGAAAAGAAAAACUUUAAAAAGGUAAUUGACUGAAUGUGAAGGAACAAUGAGCAUCUGUGGAGGAACACUGAAGUGCGGUUACGGGCUUCGGGCCUCUUCUGCGGUACCCAUUCAUACAAAAAAUGGGAGGGGUUUUCGAAAGUUAACCUGAAUGGGACCGGUGGAUGGCGAACCUUGGUUACCUGCUUAGGCCCUUCAAGUCCACUGGGACCAUCAAUGGGGAAAUCAAGGGCACGGUAACCUAACCAGGCCGCCUUUGGGUAUUAAA